CACUUUGUCUUUAUGGCAAAUGUGAGAUGCAGUGUAUGGAAUGUCAAAUUUCUAGUAUGAGAAAUUAACGAUUUAAGUCCUUCUUAAAUGAGGCCAUUUACCCAUAGAGGGUGCCAGGCCCGUAUAACGUUAAUGAUUACUAGAUGGCAUUUCCAAAGAGUCGUGUUGCUUGAUAGUGCAGCACUAAGUUGGUGGUAAACUCCAUCUAAAACUAAAUAUAACCAUGAGACCGAUAGUAAACAAGUACCGUGAGGGAAAGUUGAAAAGAACUCUGAAUAGAGAGUUAAAUAGUACGUGAAACUGCUUAGAGGUUAAGCCCGAUGAACCUGAAUAUCCAUUAUAGAAAAUUCAUCAUUAUGAUUUAAAUACUUUUUAGUAUUUCAAUAAUAGUGUGCAUUUUUUCUAUAGAGGACAUUGUAAUCUAUUAACAUGAAUAAAAUUUAUCAUAAGAUCAAUUGCUUAAGUUUAUCCAAAUUAUUUUGCUUGCAAUUUAACAUAGAAUAAAUGCUUUUGAUUUGAUAAAGUGUUGAUAGAUUUAUUAUAUACAGUGCUUGACUAUUUGUAUAUUCUAUAAUAGCAUAUUAAUUAUUAAUUUUUAUGUUUAUUUUAUGCACUUGUAUGAUUAACAAUGCGCAAGAUUCAGGAUACCUUCGGGACCCGUCUUGAAACACGGACCAAGGAGUCUAACAUAUUUGCAAGUUAUUGGGAAUAAAAACCUAAUAGCGAAGUUAACAUAACUUUAAAUUAAUUGGGAUUAGUUUUUAGCCUAUUUAUAGUCUAUUAAUUCAAUCCCGGGGCGUUCUAUACAGUUAUGUAUAAUAAUAUUUAUAUUAUUUAUACCUCUAACUAGAGCGUACCUUGAGCAUAUAUGCUGUGACCCGAAAGAUGGUGAACUAUACUUGAUCAGGUUGAAGUCAGGGGAAACCCUGAUGGAAGACCGAAACAGUUCUGACGUGCAAAUCGAUUGUCAGAAUUGCA
rnacentral:rRNA from 1 species